rnacentral:rRNA from 1 species
UACUCGAGUGGCGAACGGGUGAGUAACACGUGGGUGAUCUGCCUUGCACUCUGGGAUAAGCUUGGGAAACUGGGUCUAAUACCGGAUAGGAACCGUCUUUAGUGUGGUGGUUGGAAAGUUUUUCGGUGUGGGAUGAGCUCGCGGCCUAUCAGCUUGUUGUGGGGUAAUGGCCUACCAAGGCGUCGACGGGUAGCCGGCCUGAGAGGGCGACCGGCCACACUGGGACUGAGACACGGCCCAG